rnacentral:piRNA from 1 species
UAUUUAACUGCCCAAAGGAUAGUCUUUUC